rnacentral:misc_RNA from 1 species
CCCUCGGACCUUCAAAACGUUCAUUCUCUAUAAAUCUCUGCAUAAGCACUUGAAACUGUUGAAAUUCACCUGCAACUUCAUUGUAUUGGCGCAUCCCAUAAGGGUCAGAAUCCCAUAUCUCCAGUACCUUUUCAUACUGCCAAUGAAGGAUUUCCCAUGAGAGGCACAUUUGACCAACAUAAACCAUUUCCAAAUCACUAUGCAAUUCUCUAAUGAAACUCAUCAUUGGAUCAGAACUGGACUUUUUUCGCUUUCCUAGCAGGAAUUUCUGUGAAACAAGAGAUGUCAAUGCUGGUCCUGAGGCUUUAUGGCUUGAAAUUGAUUUAAGUGGGUCCUUUGAUUGAAGAAAGCCCAAUGCAUACAUCUUCUGGUAAUUCAAGAUAUCGAAUUUCCGCAUCCGUUCUCUGUAACUCUUGUAGAGUUUGUGAAGCUCCCCCAUUCUAUCUUCAUGCUGGAACUUCUCAUCAAUCUUCCAUGGCUUUAAAUCUUCCAUUAUUUUCGGUGACUCGUCUUCUUCUAAGAUGGUAGGCAG